UACAGAGGGGGCAAGCGUUGUUCGGAAUUACUGGGCGUAAAGGGCGCGUAGGCGGCCUGUUAAGUCGAACGUGAAAUCCCCGGGCUCAACCCGGGAACUGCGUCCGAUACUGGCAGGCUUGAAUCCGGGAGAGGGAUGCGGAAUUCCAGGUGUAGCGGUGGAAUGCGCAGAUAUCAGGAGGAACACCAAUAGCGAAGGCAGCUCGCUGGGACGGUAUUGACGCUGAGGCGCGAAAGCGUGGGGAGCAAACAGG
rnacentral:rRNA from 1 species